rnacentral:rRNA from 1 species
AUUGAACGCUGGCGGCAGGCCUAACACAUGCAAGUCGAACGGUAACAGGAAGAAGCUUGCUUCUUUGCUGACGAGUGGCGGACGGGUGAGUAAUGUCUGGGAAACUGCCUGAUGGAGGGGGAUAACUACUGGAAACGGUAGCUAAUACCGCAUAACGUCGCAAGACCAAAAGAGGGGGACCUUCGGGCCUCUUGCCAUCGGAUGUGCCCAGAUGGGAUUAGCUAGUAGGUGGGGUAACGGCUCACCUAGGCGACGAUCCCUAGCUGGUCUGAGAGGAUGACCAGCCACACUGGAACUGAGACACGGUCCAGACUCCUACGGGAGGCAGCAGUGGGGAAUAUUGCACAAUGGGCGCAAGCCUGAUGCAGCCAUGCCGCGUGUAUGAAGAAGGCCUC